AAGUAUAUGAAGAUUCCCAUAACUUUGGUCAGUAACUUGUAUUGGAUCUAUUCCAGGUCCUAGAAAUGGCUCCCCAGUUUCAAGAGUUAGCUGCUUCACUCAGGUUUGCUCGAUGUCUCUUUCCCGGAAUUUGUGGUAGUGAGGUUUUCUGUGUGAAGAUCAGCUCUCCUCCAUGGGCUUGACACAAAUUAGAUUUGAAUUUGCUUGAAAUGGUUGCUGGACCUGACUCUUAAAACACGAGAACUGCUAACUGUUGGUUCUGGAAUUCAAAGAGCCUAAGCAGAUAAACCAAUAGGACGUCAUUUACAUUAAUAUUAUUUGAUAGAGGAUGUGAAUUUUUUCUUCUUUAUUUUCAUGAAGUUGAUGUGCAAACAAUGUCGUGACUGAUGUAUUAUGGUUUAUAUGU